GGGGGAGCGGCGCCGCCCCAGCCGCCGUCACGAGACCGCGGUUGUCCAAUCAGCGCUCGCCUCUCUCCGGGCUCUUCCGCAAACUCCACUGGUCCCGCCCCUUAAAGGCGAAGGGUUUUUCCCUUAAAAAAAAAAGAAAAAAAAAAAAGGCUCCUUCUUCCUGCCCCGCCCCACACGCUCUUAUCUGUCGGCCCAAAAGUGCGCGGCGUAGGCCUGGGGGAGCCUGGCCUGACCCUGUGGCCCCCCCGGUCUGCUGCGCUACGCGGUGCCUGCUGCCCGGCCCGGUGGGCUGAGGCGCCGCCGGGAAGAGCGCGGUUCUUUCGCCGCCGCCCUCCCUCCUCCCCUCCCGGCCGCCGGCUCCCGGCCGGUUCCCCGCGGCGCCGGCGGGCGGGGCGCGCCUGCCGCCGGUCCCGGGCCGUGCUGCGCCACAGACAUGGCAGCCCAGGCCGGCAGCCGCCGGCCAGCGAGCAAAGAGGCUGGGGAGCGAGGUCCGCACCCCGAGGCGAGCGAGUGGAUAUGCGAAGCACACAAUCGCAGAAUAAAUUAGAUUAGAAAAGACCUCUGAGAACAUCGAGUCCAACCUGUGACCGAACGCCACCAUGUCAGCCAGACCAUGGCGCUGAGUGCCACGUCCAGUCUUUCCUUAAACACCCCAGGGACGGAGACUCCCGCACCCUCCCGGGCAGCUCCCAAUGCCUAACUGCCCUUUCUGUGAAUAAAUUCCUCCCAGUCUGGGGGCGCUCGCUACUGCCCAUCCCGGGGGUGCCCAGAGCCGCCUCAGGCUCCCGUCGGCGUUACAAAACAAACAAAAACCCCCAAACGCCACGCUUUUACGCCAAAGGGGAAAUAACCCCCAAGCCCCGCUCCCUGCCAGAGCCCCGCGUGUGGCGGGGAUGGCGCAGGGCCCGGUGUGAGGGAUGGCAGAGCCCUGACAGCGCUCCCGCCCCUCAGAGGGGCUGUCGCAGGCACAGGUGGCACUGGCGCGGUCCUUCGCCAGCCUCUCAGCCGCCCCAGAGGUUACGGGCCCGCCGCGGGUUCUCCUCAAAUCUCUGAGGGCUCAUCCGUGAGGAAAUGCCCCAGCCCGGCAUUUCCCUUCGGUGCGUUCGGACUCCGCCGGGCCGCAGACCAUUACGAGUUAGCAGUGGAAGGGAAAUGCAGGCACGUGCAUGUUUUUGAUGGAGAAUCAGGGGGUGUUGAUCCAAAGCCGGACAUUUGCGAGGAGGACUUCCCUUGCCGCUCGCCCUCAGGGCUGAGCUCUCUGCAAUCCACGUAGGAGCCGCAGCAGGUAUUUGGGAAGAGCCUAGACUAAACACAGAAUCAAUACUGCAGCCUACGAGAGGAGCCUACAGACAGGAGGAGAUUCACAGCCCUAUGUUUGUGUUGCUUUCCUGGGCCUGCCAGCAAGAAAGCUGAGGUGGAGGAUGAGUCUGAUGUCCUGGAAAAGCCGCAGAGUCAGACUGAGCGAGCACGGGUGUGGCAGAGCUUUUCAGCUCCUCUUGCUGCACACAGCCUUUUCACAAAGGCAGAGCUGGGACUCGUCUGUAUUUCUCUUCCUGCUGUCCUUCUGAUCACCAUUCUGCAUGUAAUUGUGCCCACGGACUAAAUACCUUGAAGCUCAUACUUUCCAGGAGAUGCACAUCACCUUGUCUUCUUCAAGCCUCUGUAUGGUUUAUACUGCAGCUGAUCCCAAAGUACAAGUGAGAGGAAAAACGGUGGUGGAAAUCCAAGGAAAGAAGGAAGCCAAGGCAGCUCUGACAGCUUUUAUGUCUCCUCCUAAAGUUGCCAUGGACAGAUGGGGGGAAGCACCUGUAUCCACGUCUGUCACUCACAGCAGUUUGGAAUGGGGGUAAGAGGACCUACCCCCCCAAACCCAAGCCAUUUUCCUGAAUGAGCUGUUGGAGGUCCUUGGUGCUGCCUCCCACAGCCCCCUCCUGGCUCAGCAGAGCUGGUGGCACCGGUCUCCUCCAGCAGUGCCUGCAAGUGUAUGGGAAGCAGGCAGAGGCAAGGCUGGGGAAAUGGGGAGGUGCAGAGCAGGGUGGAUGGACCAAGUGUACAGAACAGAGAGAGAAAAUUGAAACCCCAUAGAGGGAACCCUUCCUUCUCUUGCAAGGCACUUUGAAGGGUAGUUUUAAAAGACUCCUCCAGUGGACUGAAGAAGAUAUGCUCGAGGUACAAGCACAUAUUUCUUUCAGGAAGUGUGGAUCUGGUCGAGAGGCACUGAACAGGCAGGAAAAACACUAAGAUGAUCCUCUCAUGCCAGGACCCACUGGGAAAAAAACAAUAAUGUUCCUUGUCGCCUAAUGCUGUGCAAAGAAGAGAAGAGGGAAAGGAGAAAGUAAAUGAGGCUGCCUCAUCUUCCAGGAGCUCCUUUUAUUGCUUCAGUAGAUGGCUGAUCAACAGUGACCUCAAAUCCAGGCCCACCAUCAUCACUUGUAGCUCCAUUCUGCCAACACAACCUACAGCACAGGACCAUUGCUAGGUAUGGCAGGAUGCAAAGACCUGAUGAGCUACCCCUUUUGUGUCCAAUGGAGAGAGGCUGGAAAGCUACUAAAAAAGGGAAAGGACAGACCAAUGCCCUGUUGUUGUGAAGGAGUCAAAUAGCAGAGAGACAAAACAGAACUUGCAGCACCUUGACUUCUGGGAUUAAAUGCAAUGUCAGCCCAGGCACAGCCUCAAGCAAAUGCACACAAAGCUACAGAGGAGAGGAAAAUGUUUCUGUCUCCAGCUAAAACAAAUAUGCUCAGGGAAAUAUGCACAGAUGAAAGAGAGAGGAAUCAGAACGAUGUAGCUGGACUCAAAACAAAGUUCUCAAGGAUAUAAACUGGACAAGUGGACUUUUCAUCUUGCAAUCUGUGCAGGAUACGUACUUUUGGAACUCCCAUUCCCUGUUGUCCAGCGGACAUACUUGGCGAGUUUUGAGCCAGCGAGAGAUGCAGUGGAAGUGGAAAGCGUGCUGGAAGACAAAGUUCAGAUCACAUAAUUUCAGAAUGUAUGAAUGCAUCUCAAUGAGAAAACUACCACUGAAAGCAUCGGGGUAAGAAGAGAGUAGCGAGAGUUUGCAGGCAAAGGUGGGGCCAACUGAUCAGUCAAUUAGGUGAUAAACACAAAGGAAUUGAUCCACAUUUUCAGCGAGGAGGAAACAUUAGUGAAACAGCAGCAGGGAGCCUGUUCCACAGUGCAUUCAGUGCUAACUGACUGACUUAUGAUGAAAGAGGGAGUGCAGAGUUUAGCAGCUGCCAAAAUUGGCAGAGCAGAUGCUGAUAAGAAGCAUAAUCAGAAAGAAAAGAGAGGAUUUCAGAGUGACUAGCAGGGAUGACAUAAAUGUAUACAUGCUGAAGGAAGCUUUCUGUCAGUUUGCAAGAGAUACCAGGGCCUGAAUAAAAAGGAAUUUGCAAAAUUAGAAAAAAAAAA